rnacentral:rRNA from 1 species
AGCGAACGCUGGCGGCAGGCCUAACACAUGCAAGUCGAACGGGCUCUUCGGAACUAGUGGCGGACGGGUGAGUAACACGUGGGAACGUGCCUUUAGGUUCGGAAUAAGCCCGGGAAACUGGGUCUAAUACCGAAUGUGCCCUUCGGGGGGAAGAUUGAUCGCCUUUAGAGCGGCCCGCGUCUGAUUAGCUUGUUGGUGAGGGAAUGGCUCACCAAGGCGACGAUCAGUAGCUGGUCUGGGAGGAUGACCAUCCACAUUGGGACUGAGACACGGCCCAAACGCCUACGGGAGGCAGCAGUGGGGAAUCUUGCGCAAUGGGCGAAAGCCUGCCGCAGCCAUGCCGCGUGGAUGAUGAAGGUCUUAGGAUUGUAAAAUUCUUUUACCAGGGACGAUAAUGACGGUACCUGGAGAAAAAGCCCCGGCUAACUUCGUGCCAGCCGCCGCGGUAAAAC